CAAAUAACGUCACAUUUACACGAACUUCCAUGAGACCAGGCUGAGACUUGACAUAAGAAGAAGCACAGAGAUUCAGAGGCUUUUUACUGGUUCAUGGCACUGCAGUAAGUCUCAUCCUGGAUGGUGUGGACCAUCUUGUCCACAUCGACUCCGACGGAAGACAGGAUGCCAUGCAGCUCCUCUAUGGUCUCCUCAGACAGGGUGGGCUCUCUGCUCAGGAUCCAGGUAAACUCUGUGCGGAACAGGCCGAAGUCGGUGCAGCCGUAGACCAGAGAGUGACCCUCGUAGUCGGUGGACAGCACCCAGUAUGGACCAGGGGGAGAUCCUGCAGGAGAGACGGAAAGAGACCUCCAGCUUGGCAGGCUCAGCGGGGUUCUUGGCCUUGGCAGAGCCGACGAUAGAAUUAAUGGUACCAUCAUCACUAAUGACAAG